rnacentral:tRNA from 1 species
GGGGAGAUAGCUCAGUGGUAAAGCACUUGCCUAGCAUGCAUGAGGCCCUGGGUUCAAUCCCCAUCACCACA